CGCGCAGGCGGGAAGACAAGUUGGAAGUGAAAUCUAUGGGCUCAACCCAUAAACUGCUUUCAAAACUGUUUUUCUUGAGUAGUGCAGAGGUAGGCGGAAUUCCCGGUGUAGCGGUGGAAUGCGUAGAUAUCGGGAGGAGCACCAGUGGCGAAGGCGGCCUACUGGGCACCAACUGACGCUGAGGCUCGAAAGUGUGGGUAGCAAACA
rnacentral:rRNA from 1 species